rnacentral:rRNA from 1 species
GACGAACGCUGGCGGCGUGCCUAAUACAUGCAAGUUGAGCGCUGAAGGUUGGUACUUGUACCCACUGGAUGAGCAGCGAACGGGUGAGUAACGCGUGGGGAAUCUGCCUUUGAGUGGGGGACAACAUUUGGAAACGAAUGCUAAUACCGCAUAAAAACUUUAAACACAAGUUUUAAGUUUGAAAGAUGCAAUUGCAUCACUCAAAGAUGAUCCCGCGUUGUAUUAGCUAGUUGGUGAGGUAAAGGCUCACCAAGGCGAUGAUACAUAGCCGACCUGAGAGGGUGAUCGGCCACAUUGGGACUGAGACACGGCCCAAACUCCUACGGGAGGCAGCAGUAGGGAAUCUUCGGCAAUGGACGAAAGUCUGACCGAGCAACGCCGCGUGAGUGAAGAAGGUUUUCGGAUCGUAAAACUCUGUUGGUAGAGAAGAACGUUGGUGAGAGUGGAAAGCUCAUCAAGUGACGGUAACUACCCAGAAAGGGACGGCUAACUACGUG